rnacentral:rRNA from 1 species
AUGAGCCGAUUUCGUCACUUCAUCGCUGACCACGCCUUGCAUGACAUCUAUCUCCACGACAGGAGGUACACGUGGUCCAAUGAGCAGAGCAAUCCCACUCUCGUCAGGAACGACCGCGUGCUCUGCACCCCAUCCUGGGCGACUGCCAACCCCCACCACAUGCUGUGUUGCUUGGCCACGGCCGUGUCUUACCACUGCCCCCUCGUCGUGGAUUGUGCCCCGCGCAGCCCCGGCAAGCGAAGGUUCCACUUCGAGAGUUUCUGGCCAAAGCUUGAUGGAUUCCUUGCUACGGUGGAUGCCGCCUGGAACUCCCUCCUGCUGGAUCCCGACCCGUUUCGCCGCAUCUACGGCCGGAUGAAGAUCACGGCCCGCCGCCUCCAGAGUUGGGGGGCGCGCUCACGGGCAACAUCUCCCUGUAGCUCCAGAUCGCGCGUGAAAUCAUAUACCGCCUGGACGUCGCGCAAGACACCCGCCCCCUGUCCUCGCCUGAAAUCUGGCUUCGCCGCGAGCUCAAACGCGCCUAUCUGGGUCUGGCCUCCCUCGAGCGCUCCAUACUCCGCCAACGCGUGCGCCUUGGCUGGCUCCGCGAUGGCGACACUAACGUGGCCAUCUUCAAAAUCCACGCCGCCCACCGCGCGCAGAAGAACCAUGUGGCCUCCUUCCGCGUGGGAUCGCAAACCGUGA